CUUUUCCACCACUGCUAUCCACGUUUCAGUUAAAACCACAAACCCUAUCUCAAAUGGGCGUCUUCGCCACACCUUCCUUCCAAUACCUAAAGUUGUAGGUGUUGUUUAAGUGAGAGACAGAGAGUCAGAGAGCGCCAAAUGAGAAAGGGUAGAGAAGAAAGGAAACCGAGAGGUUCCAGUCUCCGGUGACGACGGAUCCACGGUGGCUUGAGGCGGGGCUACGACAGUGGUGGGAAUGAACAAUAUGGUGGCUAGAUUAUGUUUCAUUCACCUUCCUCGGCCCUCUAGAUUGAAGUUGUUUCAGAUUGUCGUGAAGCAAAAUUCCGUUAGAUACUAGUUAACGGGUCUACUCGAGUAGUCAACAAAUCAUGGACAUCUGCGAUCAAAGUAUCAAUUAUAUAUGUGCCGAGAAUUGGUCGGUGAUAAUUUUUCAACAUGAACGCAUUCAUGGCUACCCAUGACGCCUCAAGUCAAUUGACGAAGUUCGAGGACUCAGUGGAUGUGACAAUUAUCGUCGAUUACGAGUUCUCUGCACCAAAAUUCUUCGAUUUUAUCGAAGGAAAGACUGCAUUCGGUGACCCCUUCGAUGUUCCAGCGAAGCGUACAUUAGCUUCUUGCAUGCUCUUCCUUUGUCAAGAUAGUCCUCCACAGGUAACUUGGAAAUGGUGGGUCUGAGCUCAUUAUUACCAGAUCAACUAAUGGUGGAAUAUCUACAAAGCAAUUGGUUCCCCGGAAUAUAUGCGUUUCUAUCAUCAAAGGACAUGUCUGUUGCCACCACUGUUGUGCUAGCUGCCUUGGUAUACCUCAAAAUCCCACCACUUUUGUAUAAAGUUAAAUGGUGGCAAGACAGGUAGUCCGGGUAACGGGUCAAAAUGAGUUUGAGUUCAAAAUUGAAGUAUGUCAUUCAUUUAGCGGGUUGGGGUGAAAUGUUGGUUAGGUUAAUCCUCUUUAAUCCCUUUUUUGUCCAAUUUGAUAUCUUUUAUAUGCAUAAUUAACACCUUAAACGAUAUUACUACAAUUAAAAUUUGAAUCUUAGGAAAACUUACCAUGGGUUUGACUUGAAUUGUUGUGUUGUUUCUGUUUAGGGACUGUGGGAAACAAGUGGCUUUUUUUAUGUCAUUCAUGAUGUCAUUUUUUUGUAUUAUUAUUCAGGCAUACAGUUUUAUGUAUAUAUUUAAUAUGUAUAGUUUGAUUGACUGAAAACUAAUUACAAGUGGAUUUGAUAAUGCCCUUGCUGCAACCAGGUUAGAGUUUUUAUUUAAGAAAAUUUUGUGGAUUUUGACUUAUUGAAGGGUUGUGAUUAAGAGCGUAUGAUCGGGCUGCGAUCAAGUUCCGAGGUAUUGAUGUUGAUUCUAAAUUUCAUGUAAAAGAAUAUGAGGAAGAAAUGACUUAGGUGAGGCGAAGAAUCUUUCAAAAGAUGAAUUCAUCAAUAUACUGCGUAGGCAGAGCACUGGAUUCCCUAGAGGAAGCUCGAAAUAUCGAGGAGUGACUCUUCAUAAAUGUGGCAGAUGGGAGGCGCGUAUGGGUCAGCUUCUAGGGAAAAAGUAAGGAUCCGUUCACGAUCUUGAUGCUUGAUAGAUGAGAUACAUACUUGAUGUAACAGUAGUUUACUUCUAAUAUUUGUGGGUACGAAUUUUUAUGUUUACCUUGGAUUAUUCGAAAAUGAAGUGGAAGUUGCAAAGUUUUUUUUA